GGCACAUUUCUGCAGAGACUUCUGGAUGCAAACAACAGAGGCAGCUUUGUUGCAGGAGAGGGUGCAUGUGUGGCUGCUGGAAGGAGCCCAGUGCUCGGAGAAAGCUCUGGAGGCCUGUAGGUGGAGUCCAGCUGCGUCAACCACUCUGCGGGCAAGGAAUUGCUUCACAAGAGGACAAUGAGUAAAGCCUCUCUUUGAUCCACCUCCACACCUUAUUAACUGCCUGUGAAAGGAGGAGAUUAUUCUGCCUUAGAAAGAAAGAGAGAAAGAAAGAAAGAGAGAAAGAAAGGAAGAGAGAGAGAAAGAGAGAGAGAAAGAGAGAAAGGAAGAGAGAAAGGAAGAGAGAAAGAGAGAAAGAGAGAAAGAAAGAGAGAAAGAGAGAAAGAGAGAAAGAGAGAGAGAAAGAGAGAAAGAGAGAAAGAGAGAAAGAGAGAGAGAGAGAGAGAGAGAGAGAGAGAGAAAGAAAGAAAGAAAGAAAGAAAGAAAGAAAGAAAGAAAGAAAGAAAGAAAGAAAGAAAGAAAGAAAAACAUAGAGGGAAUAAAACAAUCAGCAGAGGCAAAUGAGGUGAGCAGUUAGUCUGGAACCCUUCAGACCAGCUUGACUUUCACUUCUGGUCAUACCAGCCUGAUGUCGAUGCAAGGAUCUCCAGCACCCACAAGGAUGCUCCAGGAUGCUGAAGAAGGUUUUCGCACCACCUCCCUGUCCAAGGAAGAAGGUUCGUCAUCCAUUAUUUAUGAAAUCAUCAUGUUGUCUCUCGGCGGAGGUCUGCUGCUGCUCUUUGUCAUCAGUGUCACAGUGAGAAUUCUCCAGAGCCGCUGCACUCCACGUUACUCUUCCAAAGACCUCAGUGCACCCACAGUGGUCCUGGAGAACACUGCAGUGACCAACAACUGCUCUGAUAAGAUUUCAACGGUGAAUUUGACUGGCCCGGUGUGUCUGAGUUACGUUUCCAGCAGGCCCACUGGAGGUACAGAAGAGACAGUUUCCAUUUCUGAGCUCCCAUUCUUCUCUGCUGUCUCGAUCACACCCCCAAAUUCACCACUGGAGCAGUGAUGGCUCCCCUUGUCAGCUGCUUUCUUCUGGAGACAAACGUGCACAACAGGCUCUGGGGUGCACGUUGGCAAAGCAGUGGGCUGGUGUGUCCUAUAUUUCUUCCACCAUGACUUCAGGUUGCCAACCUGUAUUACACCAGUAUUAGAAAAAAGAGGAAACUGGGGAUUUAUUUUAUUUUAUUUUUUAUUUUUGUGUGUAAGUGGAGAAAAAGUGUAGAUUCACUCGCCUAAUCUUUGCGGGUUGAUGUAUUAAAAAUGUACUACAGAUUUACUUUUCUCCAUAUUCUCUCUUUCUGUUGUAUGAGUCAUGAGCAAAAAAACAUGGGGGAAUUUCAGGUGAUUUUUAUUCGGGUAAUUAGGGUGAUUCCCAAAUCCCUCUGAUUCACGCACAAAUUGCACUCAUUACAGCUUUCUAUCCAUGGUUUCCAACAAGCUAUAUGACUGUGUCUGUGCUAAUACUACUGGACACACUGCAGUCUGCAAGUCACCACGUCUGUGACGUGUUUUUUAAUCUGCCCACCUUUACAGUCUGAAGGAAGAUACUAUCUAUUAAUCUUUAAGCUAAGAGCUGCAGCACUGCUGACCUCUGCCUCUGGGGUGACAUCAGCUUGCUGAGGAAUGAGCUUGUUCUCCCCGAUCAGGUGCAAGGGACAGACCAGCCUGAGAUCUGGCAUGGAGAGGAGGUUGAUCAAUUCACUGGCUCCUGCCGGCAGGGUAUAUAAUUUUCCAUUUAUCUUAUCAACUUUUUUUGGCCUACCUCCAGCAUUGUUUUCCAGAGGAAGCAGGAGGAAAGUCCUCUGACCAAUGAGUGCUCCUCCAAAAGGGAUUUGGCAUCAUUUGUUCCUUCUUCAAUCAUCAAAGUGACAAUUUGAGCAACUUUUAACUGAGGUGGAAACCAAACCUGGUUCAGAGAAUCAUGAAAUCACAGAAGCAUGAAAGUUGGAAGACCUCCAAGAUCCCCAAGCCCAACCCCACCCCAUCCCACCACAUCCCCAAGUGCCACAUCUCCAUGGUUCUUGAACACCUCCAGGGAUGGGGACUGCACCACCUCCCUGGGCUGCCUGUGCCACUGCAUCACUGCUCUUUCAGAGAAUAAAUUUUUAUAUCUCUUAGGGUUAUGGCAAAAUUCCCUUUCUUACCUCCAAUGUGGAAUUCCAGCACAUGGGUACCAGGAUUGUGAUGCUGGUGAGAACAAUACAGGAUAAUGUGUAUGUAUGUAUGCACCAGACAACAAGUAGGAAUUAGAGAUUGUUAUGUUUAGGGAGCCAAGCACAAUAAACUUAGGAAAUAGCAGCAAUAAAUGGAUGUGUGGGUUCUGAAUUUUGUAUUUGUUUUACUUUUGUUCUUUGCUCACCAGGAAUAAAGCAACAUAAUCCUGACAGCAUGCAUGCUAUAAGCUCUGGUCUCAGUGGAGGAGAUGAGGAUGGUUUAGCCCCAGGAAAUGUGCUCUGUUUGAUGAUAUUGAACAAUAAACCAAUGCAAAAUGUAAAAGAAUGAAAAAUAGCAAGGUCUUCUCAGUACUUCCCCAGCCUCAGCUGUAAUCCUUUGGCACCUGUAGGGUGGUUUUGAACUCUUCUUUAUGGUGAUGGACUGCACUCUGCAGAUGACAUCGGAGGAAUUUACUGCAAUGAAACAUAACACCUUAAUGAGGAAAAGAACCGCUUUCCUCCUAAUGCAGCAGCUUUGUCUGGUUUUUCCCUCCACCACGCAGUGUGAUGGUUCAGAUCUAAGACUCGUGUGGUUGUUGAAUUGCCAUGAUGGAUUUUAGAAAGGGGAAAAUCAUGUCAAGUUUAUGUAAGCAGCUGCUCUUUGGAAAUACAUCUUAAUUACGGGUAAAAAUACUAAGCCAUAACUUAUAUACUUCUUUUAAAGAACACUUUUUUGUUUUGUU
ensembl:lncRNA